UUAGCUUUGAUAUAUUUAUAAAAGACGACAUUACUGUUUGUCUAUCUUACAAUACAAAGCAGGUAGUUUCCAUUUAAACUCCGCACCUUUCACAGGUGUGGAGACAGUUUCCAAGAUGAAUUUAUCAAUAUAAAAAGUUAUGUGCUUUUAGACGAGUGUUUGUGUAAAUGAGAAGAGUGAAAA